rnacentral:lncRNA from 1 species
UUGCUUUUGUAACCUACACGACCAGAGAAGGAGCAGAGAAGGCUGCAGAGCAGCUUGCUGACAAGCUAGUGAUAAAGGGUCCGAGGCUGAAGCUGCGGUGGUCAUGGCAAAAAGACGCUGUAUGCGUCGGCCAACCUGAAAGCCCAAACCUCAACGAUACAAAAAGAAAAAAAGAAGGCAGCAUGGAAUUAAGUAGGAUUAAUUAAAAUUUUAUUUGGUUUUUUUAGUUGAAAAUGUGUUAAAAUAAUAUUUUUUAUUUUUUAAAAUUUAUUUUUAAUAUUAUCAAAUAAAAAAUCAUAAAAUGUAUAUAAAAAAUAAUUUAAAAUAAAAAAAAUUCCCUUUUUUGCCUGUGUAAAAGUCUUUACUCUUUUUGCCAUAAUUUGGAGGGAUCGAUUGAACUUCCAUCUUGCUAAACUGAUCUGCUACUAUUCUAGACAAUAGAAAUUUCUUUGUUGUUCAUGUGAAUAGAAACACAUUAAGAUAUAUUUAUUUAUUUAUUUGACAUGAAGAUUAAUUGUUGACAUAUUUCCUCGAGGUAAAUUAAUAUAUUUUUAUAUAUAAUUUAUCCAAAUUUAAAUGGAAACGCUAAUUUAAAAAAAUAUCCACUCUUUUUUUUGCAUACUUUUAAUUAAAAAAAAUGAAUCUUACAAAAUAAUUUACAUUCAAUAAUAGAACAAGCAAAUUCAUUUUAUUUUAUUACCCCCAUAUUAUAUCUUUUCCUUUAUUUUCAUUCCUUUUCUUUUGUGCUUAUGCGUAAUUCACCUAGAAGCACCUAGAAAAACCCACGGUACGUAAGCCCAUGGGCUUACUUGUCAAACAGUCAAACUGAGGCAAGCCUGAACGCGGUCAGUCUGGACCGAAACCGUGUAUCCAUAAAUAUAAAUGCCUGGAGUUAAUCCACUUUUCCUCCUUACAAAAAUUUAUACGCCCUACCCUAGAUUCUAAAAUCCAAUCCAGUGUCGGAUUCGCGAAGGCGAAGAAGAUAAAUAACAGUUGCUUUAUUCAUCACAGGAAAAUCUGAACACGCCUGAAUCCGGCUUCGUAGUGUAAGAAUUCUUCUUCUUUUUUCUUGCAACGAUGUUUUUAAUGCUUCGAAAGGGGUUUUGUAAUUGCUUUUGAGUUUAUGUGAUUAGGUUAGCCUGAAUUAAUUACUUGUAUUUUUUUUUAGAAUUGAAUUUGCACUAUUUUGAUUUGUGUGACCAGAAGUAUAACAACAAUUUCUGGUAUCCAUCGCAGAGAUUAAGGCAGUGAAGUGUGUGUUUGACCUAGAAGAAAAAAGGGAAUGGCGCACAGGUUGUUAAAAGACCCGGAGGCUGACGGAUGGGAACGGUCUGACUUUCCUAUCAUUUGCGAGUCUUGCUUAGGUGACAAUCCCUAUGUCAGAAUGGUAUGCAAUAUUAAUCCUUGUUCCAAGUUGGGGUUUUUUGGGGGGGAGGGGCUUUGGCUGUUCUGUGUGGAUAUUUAUAUGAUUUGUUCCUUUGCGGUUGUAUGUACUUGGUGGGAUGCAGACCAGAGCUGACUUCGAUAAGGAAUGCAAGAUAUGUACUCGACCAUUUACAGUGUUUAGGUGGAGGCCUGGCAGGGAUGCGAGAUUUAAAAAGACUGAAGUUUGCCAGACUUGCAGUAAGUUGAAAAAUGUUUGUCAAGUCUGUCUUUUGGAUCUAGAGUAUGGUUUGCCUGUUCAAGUUCGUGAUACUGCUCUCAGUAUAAAUUCCAACGAUGCUAUUCCAAAGAGUGAUGUGAAUAGAGAGUAUUUUGCCGAGGAGCAUGACCGAAGGGUAUGUUUGUUUCAUGUUUUAACUCUAGUAUGUUUUAGUUGCUUUUUUGGCUGUAUGUGAUGUGAAGCUAUUUACUGUGUUGUGUGUUAGAAUUCUCCGGUUGUUAGGGUAUCACCAUUACUGGGUAACCGAUGAUUUCCAAGUAAAUGUUUACUUUCUAAUGGCUGUUUGUUGUAAUUUGGUAGUUAUGAAUUUCAAACUAUCAAAUAGCGUAAUCAGUGUGCGGUCCAGUUAGAUAUGCAUUCAAGGUUGUUCCACUGAGGUGGUGAUUGUUGCACUAAUUCUGUUCUGUUGUUCUCUUAUGCUGAAACUGAUAUGAUUUUGCUUGAUGCAGGCUAGGGCGGGUAUUGAUUAUGAGUCUUCAUAUGGAAAGGCUCAAGCAAAUGAUACUAUUCUGAAGCUUCAAAGAACAACACCAUACUACAAAAGAAAUCGAGCACAUGUUUGUAGCUUCUUUGCACGUGGUGAAUGCACACGAGGUGCCGAAUGCCCCUAUAGGCAUGAGAUGCCCAUAACUGGGGAGUUGUCACAGCAAAAUAUUAAAGAUCGUUAUUAUGGGUAAGUAGAAUGUUGUGAUUUCAUCCUCCAAGCAUAAUUAGCUUUAUUUAUGUUUUUCCUCUCUCCCUCUCUCUAUCUCUCGAAUGCAUGCAGGGGCAUAAACUCUCACGUUUACUAGCUCUUGCCUCUUGUCUCCCCUGUUCCUAAAUUGCUAUUUAAGAUCAUGAAGUGGUGCUAAAAAUGCUUCAUAACAUAUUUUACAAUCGGCAUCAACUUCAUUAUCACUUUUGGAUUCACUUUAAGUUUCAAAGUUGAUUUCUUUUUUUGUGGUCCUUUAGGCUGAUUUUGUAUUUUGGGCAAUUAUAUGAGCACGUAUGAUAUAAUACUUAGUUUAGCUGUAUGAUACAAUACUUAGUUUAGCUGAUGACUUUGUAACGCUUCUCACGAUCGAACUGAAAACUCCACCUCUACUCAACAAGUGCAGCUUUUUGACGUAUCUUUAACUCAAUUGCCCAUGAACUUCAAACUUGUGAAUGUCAAAAACAAUUUUUGUAGUGUCAAUGACCACACACAAGGUGAUUCUUCAUGCAUGCAUGCAUGUAUUCAUCCCCACUGAAACUAAGUACAAAGGCAUAUGAUUUCUGAAUUUUUAGAAGUUUGACUUCAUCUGAUUUUUAUACUUGUUUUUCUAAAUGCGUGAAGAGUGAAUGAUCCUGUGGCAAUGAAGCUACUCAACAAGGCUGGAGACAUGCCGUCAUUAGAACCACCAGAGGAUGAAAGCAUUAAAACGCUCUAUGUAGGUGGGCUUGAUGCGAGGAUCAAUGAGCAGGACCUAAGGGAUCAGUUUUAUGCUCAUGGCGAAAUUGAAUCCAUAAAAAUGGUGCCUCAAAGAGCAAUUGCUUUUGUAACCUACACAACCAGAGAAGGAGCAGAAAAGGCCGCAGCGGAGCUCUCUAACAGGCUAGUCAUCAAGGGUCUGCGUCUGAAAUUGAUGUGGGGUAGACCGCAAGCACCAAAACCUGAGUCGGAAAGUUCUGAUGAAGCAAGGCAGCAGGCAGCAAUGGCCCAUAGUGGGAUGUUGCCCCGUGCAGUUGUAUCUCAGCAACACAACCACUUAAAUCCACCCGGCACCCAGGACCAACAUCCUCCAAUGCACUACUUCAAUAUUCCCCCACCACCUCAGCAAGAACGAGCAUUUUACCCGUCAAUGGAUCCUCAAAGAAUGGGUGCCCUUGUUGGAUCCCAAGACGGUACUCCUAAUGGGCCUGCAGGAUCAGGUGAGAAUAAAUCUGGAUUGGAGAAGCAGCUCGGGCAGCACUAUCCAUAUCAAAGUAUGCCACCACCUCACGUGCAAUACCAACAACAAUACCAACAACAACAUUAUCCAGCAUAUGGUUAUAUGCCGCCAGUGCCACCGUAUCAGCAGUAUCCUCUGCCAUAUCACACUCCUGUGCCUCCCCCACAGGUGGUGCAAUCCACACAGCAGUAUCAGCAUCCUGUGCCACCGCCAAUGGCUGCACCUGCAGAGUCCAUGACCUCUGUGCCCCCACAUCAGGGAUCCCGAGAUCCUGCAGGGUCGAUGCCCUCCGAGCCCUCAUCUCAGGGAUCUGAAGCACCUGCAGGGUCCAAACGCUCCAGCCCACCAUCUCCGAGACCUGGAGAACCUGAAGAAUCUAAACCCUCAGGGCCCUUACCUUGAAUGCUGUUUAAGUUUUCUUGUGCUUGUAUUGUUGGUUGCAGUAAUUUGUUCAACAUACUAUCUGAUUAAGAAGGCGAGAACUUGCAUCAGAAUCUAUGAUCCAUGAGAAGUUGUGAUGCAAUUCAUAGGGAGCGUUUGUCCUUGUUUAGCAGGCUUCAUGUGCAAGUUUGAUCAGGAUCGGUGAUCGAGGUUCCCAUUAACGUCUAGCCAAGAUUUCAUGGGAGUUGGGCAUUCUAGCCAAGGUUUAAUUUGAAAAUAGUAUAGGUUCUCAUGACAUCGUGGUCGUUUAAUGUUAACUUCAAUUUUACGCAGCAAUAAAAAGUUUGCGUUAUUCAAGCACGGAUGAUAAAUAUUGUUCUUUAAAAAUGAUGUUUUAACUUUUAUGAAAUAAAUGUUGUUCUUUUCUUUUCUGAUGUGAUAAGGUGCUUGAUCAUUUGUUAUAUGUUGAAAUUAUUCUUGAUCAUCGGUGAUCAUCACAGUUAUAAUUAAAUUAGUUGAAUUAAAAAAAAAUGAUAGCAGUAAGAUAAAUAUUCACAAUACAGCAAGUAAAGAAGCUUCUCCCGUUUGUAGUCUUACAAUUUGAACACUAUUCUUUUAAUUUUCAGGAUAAUCCAACUUGCUGAAUCAUAAAUAAUUAAUAGUUUAAAGGGCUGGCUUGGUGAGUAAGAAUUUUUGCUUCAUUCUAGAUUUUUGAAAUUUAUUUAAAUUUAAGAACAUGUAUCAUUUGAAUGUACCAGAAUGAUUCGAGGGUGCGUUUUUAAAAUGGUUUAGUAACAGAUUUAGUCUUAGUUGAUCCAGAUUAACUCGAAUAUCCUUACUGCACAUACAAAAAAAUUUAGCCAACAUCACUGUUGGCUAAGCUCAACUGUUUCUUGAAAAUAAAAGCUUUAAACUUGUUCAUCCUGCACUAAACACGUCUUAGAGUAAACGAGCCAUCUAAGUCGGGUUUUGUUAUGAGUAAUAAUUUUUUUAAAAAAAUAUUAGUUAUGCAUGCUCCUUCAAUAUAUUUUUUAACAUAAAAAAAUUUAAAAUAUAAAUUAAAAAGUUUAUGCAAGUAUCUCAUUAAAUAAAUUAAUAAUCAUUUAUAUAAUUAAAUGGAAAAAACCAAAAGAGAAAUUGAUAAAAUUAAGAGUGUAAAUUAAGAUAUCCAAUCACAUAAAAUAAAAUAUUAACCUAAUUGUUUUUACUGAAUUUGUUUAUUAAAAUCAAUAAAAAAUAAAUCCACAACCUAAAGAACUCAUGACUUAAAAGAUAAACACAAAUAAAACUGACAAAUAAACUUAUGCCAUAAAAAAAUAUUAUGCAAAGUCAAACACAUCAACAAUAUUAUUUAAAAAUAAAUAUUUUUUAUUUUUAAAAAUCAACUUCAUUUGUAUAAAACACAAAAAAAUUCUAAAUAAAUUAGCUAACAUCUUGAAAAACAAAACAUGUUUUAAAAAGGAAACAAUAUUAAAAAUAAAUAAAUGCAGAGUGAUAAGAUCGUAUGAAGUCAAAUCUCUAACAAAUCAAAUGUUGAAAGAUGAAAUCAAUAAAAAAAAAUCAAUUGCACAAAAUGAUUUAAAAAAUAAGAGUGAAAAAAAAACAUUGAUUAUAGGGCAAUUAAAAAUUUGAUUUGAUAUGUGCUCCGUAACGGGUCAUAAUUUUUCUUUCUAAAAAAACUUGAGCAUACAGACUUAUCUAGAUUCAUUUUUUUUCAUGAAAUAAAUUAUAAAUGUAAAUAAAAAAUUUUAUCCAAAAAUCUAAUAUCAUCUAUGUAAAUAAAUUAAUUUUUUUUGUUAAUAAUAACUAAAAGAGAAACAGAGAAAAAUGAGAAAUGAACAUAAAUUAAGAUAUUUGAUAUCAUAAAAUAAAACAUUUACUUAUUUGUGUUCACUAAAUUUGUUCAUACCAAUCAAUAAAAGAUAAUAAAAAUAAAAACACAUAUGAAACAAAGUAAAUAAAAUAAAAGGACAAAAAAUAUGCAUAGCCGAGAAUAUAUGAAAUAUUAUUUCAAAAUAACUAUUUUUUAUGAUCAAUUGUAAUGGCUAGAUUGAAACUAAUAUAUGAUCAAUUGUAAUGGCUAGAUUGAAAAUAUAAAAAACUUUUCUAAAAGAGUCAAUGAUAAAAAUAAACAAUAAAAAACACAGGGACUAAAAUUGAAAAAUAAAAAAUAAAAGGGACAAAUAUGCACUUUAACUAGAAGAGAGAGAAAAGCAUGCAAGAAAAAGAAGAAACGACCACUGGCGACAAACUGUCGGAUCACCACCGACACACUCUACACCGGGAGGAAGAUCACAUGACGGCGCUUCUAGUGACAUGGAGGAAGGCCAUUUUUGGAUAAACAGUGGUGUCGCAUGUGACGUCGAAAAAGCGCAGACGCAGUCAUUGCGUGGAAAAUACGCACCAACAGCUUUUCAUUAUUUAAUAUUAAAAAAUAAGGUUAAUUACUAUAAAAAACCCUCAUGACCUUGGAAAUAACAAAUAAAACCAAUAUGAAAAUACCAAAAUACCCCUGUAUGCAUAGAGGCUAUUUUAUCUUAUAUACGGGCAAAUAUAUAUUUUAUUGAUUUUCAAGUUUGUGCAAAGUCAGAAACACCUUUGGUCAACAAGUUUAAAUUUCAUUGACCUUGAAGGCAAAAUAGUAUUUUUACUGUACAAAAUAAUAUGCAAAGAAAAUAAUACUCAUGUUCAAUCUUUUAAUGACUAAUGGGUCAACGUAAAAGGACCAAAAUACCCACAUGCCCUAACCUUCUAACUUUUUCAUGAGAGACACAAAAGUAAAUUUACUAUAACAAUCCAUAGUGAACUGAGUCUAUUGCUAUAAUGAAUUCACUAGAUUUUAUGUCCACACGAUAUGACGCAUAAUAAAUUUCAAAAUUAAUUGUUAUUUAAUUUAAUAAAAAUUAAAAAAAAUAUUUGUAUAAAUUUCGAGGAUUUAACUUUUAAAUAAGAAAUGUGUUUCUUAAGUAGAAGUCCACAUUCCUUAUUUAAACAUUUUUUUUUAUUUCAACGAAAAAUAUCUUUUUCUGUCACCAUCAUUUUUUUAUAAUAAAACUUAAGAUAAUUUUAAUUUAUAUCAAGAAGGGAGAAAAUUUUAUUAAAUGAGGCAAAACAACAACAUCUCCUCUCCUUCUCCUCCUCCUUCACCACCACCACCUUUGAAUUUUUUUUUUUAAAUUAAAACUUAUUAUAAUCUAAAACACAAGUUUCAAACAAAAAACAAAAAUCAUGUCCUUAAAAUGUUUAUGUCGUGAUAUGAAAAAAAUAAUUCAUUCAUAAAAACUAUAUAAAAAAAGUAGCAAUAAAAAAAUUAAAAUACCCUCAUAUAUAUUAUAACCAUCACGAAUUUGAUUAAAAGAUAUUGAUUGAAAUCCGUUUCCCAUCUCCUUUUCUCUUUAACAACAACAAGCAAUCUAUUUUCCAUAUCUUUGCCAAACAAAAUUAAUUUUUUAUUUAUUUAUGAAUACAUAGAGAAUGGGACUCGUAUUCUAUUAUGUUUGUACUGGCAUUUUAUCAAACAGAGCAGCAAGAAAAAAAAAGGGCCUAGUAAAGAAAAAAAAGGCAGAAGCAAUUUUAGAGCAGAUCAACGAACUGGGUCCUUCUUCUUUUUAGCAAGGAACUUGGAAAGGCACCUGUGAAUAUUUUCGGCCUUUGGCCACAUGUUGUCAUAUUUCCAUUUCUCCAAAGCUUUAGCCAAAGCUAGAGUCCAUGUCUCUUUCGUAUCAACUCCCACCACGCUCGGCACCCCUGAUAAAAUCACUGGAACCUCAUCUGCAAUCUUUGAUGUUAAGUUUGCCUGUGAUCUCUUGAAGCACCCCUUCAAGCAGUUUGUCGCCGAGAAAUCAUCCAAUUGGAUAAUUAGUGAUUUUUGUUUUCACUGGGUUUUUGAUAUUGCAGAAGAAUAUGAUAUCCGAGUAAUACACUUUUCAAUUCUCUGUGAAACCUUGAAAGAUUUCCUGGGACCUGCCGAGUAUCUUGUUGGUGACCGUCUAAAAUCAAUCUAAUUUGGGUUUCGUUGGAGGUCUAGGUUUGGAAUUGUCUAAAAUCAAUCAAAUCAAUUCUGUAAGAGAUACGGGUGGCUAGGGUAAAGGAGUUUUUUUUUUUUUAAUUAAAUGGCUAUUUUGUAAUUUAUAAUUUUAAAAUUGUAAAGAUUAUUUAGUUAUUAAAUAAAAUAUAAUGAUAAUUUUAUAAAUAAUUAAAUAAUUUUUAUUGACUUUUCUCGACAGUAUGGGAAGCGAAUGUAAACUAUCAUACUGACGACAAAGUUUAGAAUUCAAAUUAUAAUUUUUCACUAAACUAUAUAAUUUAUUUUCAUCCUUUUCUUUUGGGCCUACGCGUAUUUACCUUUAAACACCUUGAAAAACCCAUAGUACGUAAGCCCAUGGACUUACUUGUCAAACCAGUCAACAAAGGCAAGCCUAAACACGGUCAGUCUGGGCCGACACCAUCUAUAUAUAUAAAAGCCUGGAGUUAAUUCACUCUUCCUCUUUAACAAUUUAAAGAACACCCUGCCCUAGAUUCUAAAAUCCAAUUGAUUGUCGGAUUCGCGAAGAAGAUAAAUAACUAUUGGUUUAUUCAUCACAGGAAAAUCUGAACACGCCAGAUUCCGGCUUUUUAGGGUAAGAUUUCUUCUCCUUUUCUAGCAACGUUGUUUUUAAUGCUUCAAAAGGGGUUUUGUAAUUGCUUUUGAGAUUAUGUCAUUGGGUUAAGCCUGAAUUAAUUACCUGUGUUUUGUUUUUUUUAUAUAUAUAUAUAUAUUUUUUGAGAAUUGAAUUUACAAUAUUUUGAUUUGUGUGACCAGAAGUAUAACAACAAUUUCUGGUAUACAUCGCAGAGAUUAGGGCAGUGAAGUGUGUGUUUGACCUAGAAGAAAAAAGGGAAUGGCGCACAGGUUGUUAAAAGACCCGGAGGCUGACGGAUGGGAACGGUCUGACUUUCCUAUCAUUUGCGAGUCUUGCUUAGGUGACAAUCCCUAUGUCAGAAUGGUAUGCAAUAUUAAUCCUUGUUCCAAGUUGGGUUUUUUUGGGGGGGAGGGGCUUUGGCUGUGCUGUGUGGAUAUUUAUAUGAUUUGUUCCUUUGCGGUUGUAUGUACUUGGUGGGAUGCAGACCAGAGCUGACUUCGAUAAGGAAUGCAAGAUAUGUACUCGACCAUUUACAGUGUUUAGGUGGAGGCCUGGCAGGGAUGCGAGAUUUAAAAAGACUGAAGUUUGCCAGACUUGCAGUAAGUUGAAAAAUGUUUGUCAAGUCUGUCUUUUGGAUCUAGAGUAUGGUUUGCCUGUUCAAGUUCGUGAUACUGCUCUCAGUAUAAAUUCCAACGAUGCUAUUCCAAAGAGUGAUGUGAAUAGAGAGUAUUUUGCCGAGGAGCAUGACCGAAGGGUAUGUUUGUUUCAUGUUUUAACUCUAGUAUGUUUUAGUUGCUUUUUUGGCUGUAUGUGAUGUGAAGCUAUUUACUGUGUUGUGUGUUAGAAUUCUCGGGUUGUUAGGGUAUCACCAUUACUGGGUAACCGAUGAUUUCCAAGUAAAUGUUUACUUUCUAGUGGCUGUUGAUGUAAUUUUGACAUGUAGUUGUUAGAAUGAACUGAUGAUGCAGCUACUAUAUAUGAAACCCACAUUUGUUAUUUGCAGCAUGCUUGUUGCCAUGGGACGUCUUUUUUUCUUAUGAAUGAAUCAUAUUGCAUAUACCAUAUAAUAGCAGUGAAAGAUAUCAAUUUCCCAUUUUUAUUUGUACUGGUACUUUUUAUUUAAGAGUCGUGUUUUAUAUGAACUGCUGAGCAUGUUUUAUAUGAACUAGAUGCUGAGAUUCACAUUAGACUAAUAUGUUUUAGAUGAAACUUGGCAGGCCUUUUAUCUUUAAAUAAAAUGAUAAUGUAAACAUAAUACUUGAUGUUACACUUGCAGAUACUUAACAAUGUGAGUUAUUGUGCAAUGAAAAUUAUGUAUCUAAAUUAUUUUAUUUAACUACAAUUAAUGCAAGUUAUUCGAUUCACAUAAGUACGAAUACUAAAAUUAUAGUUACAUACCAAAACCUUUAUCUGUACCUUUGAUCAUUCAUUUAAUAACCAAGGAGGUCCUUUGAUCCUGUCUCCCUCCUAUUGUAGUUAUGGAUUUCAAACUAUCUAAUAGCCUAAUCAGUGUGCAGUUCAGUUAGUUAUGCAUUCAAGGUUGUUCCACUGAGAUGGUGAUUGUUACAAUAAUUCUGUUCUGUUGUUCUCUUAAGUGAAGCUGAUAUGAUUUUGCUUGAUGCAGGCUAGGGCGGGAAUUGAUUAUGAAUCUUCAUAUGGAAAGGCACAAGCAAAUGAUACUAUUCUGAAGCUUCAAAGAACAACACCAUACUACAAAAGAAAUCGAGCACAUGUUUGUAGCUUCUUUGCACGUGGUGAAUGCACACGAGGUGCCGAGUGCCCCUAUAGGCAUGAGAUGCCCAUAACUGGGGAGUUGUCACAACAAAAUAUUAAAGAUCGUUACUAUGGGUACGUAGAAUGUUGUAAUUUCAUCCUCCAAGCAUAAUUAGCUUUAUUUAUGUUUUUCCUCUCUCCAUCUCUGGCAUGCAUGCAGGGGUGUACACUCAUGAUUGCUAGCUCUUGCCCUUUGGCUCCCCUGUUCCUGAAUUGUUAUUUGAGUUUCAAAUUUGAUUUCUUUGUUUGUGGUCCUUUAGGUGGAUUAUUGUAUUUUGGGCAAUUAAAUGAGUACGAAUGAUAUAAAACUUAGUUUAGCUGAUGACUUUGUAAUGCUUCUCACGAUGGAACCGAAAACCACGCACAAGUUGAUUCUGCAUGCAUGCAUGUAUCCAUCCCCACUGAAACUAAGUACAAAGGCAUAUGAUUUCUGAAUUUUUAGAAGUUUGACUUCAUCUGAUUUUUAUACUUGUUUUUCUAAAUGCGUGAAGAGUGAAUGAUCCUGUGGCAAUGAAGCUACUCAACAAGGCUGGAGACAUGCCGUCAUUAGAACCACCAGAGGAUGAAAGCAUUAAAACGCUCUAUGUAGGUGGGCUUGAUGCGAGGAUCAAUGAGCAGGACCUAAGGGAUCAGUUUUAUGCUCAUGGCGAAAUUGAAUCCAUAAAAAUGGUGCCUCAAAGAGCAAUUGCUUUUGUAACCUACACAACCAGAGAAGGAGCAGAAAAGGCCGCAGCGGAGCUCUCUAACAGGCUAGUCAUCAAGGGUCUGCGUCUGAAAUUGAUGUGGGGUAGACCGCAAGCACCAAAACCUGAGUCGGAAAGUUCUGAUGAAGCAAGGCAGCAGGCAGCAAUGGCCCAUAGUGGGAUGUUGCCCCGUGCAGUUGUAUCUCAGCAACACAACCACUUAAAUCCACCAGGCACCCAGGACCAACAUCCUCCAAUGCACUACUUCAAUAUUCCCCCACCACCUCAGCAAGAACGAGCAUUUUACCCGUCAAUGGAUCCUCAAAGAAUGGGUGCCCUUGUUGGAUCCCAAGACGGUACUCCUAAUGGGCCUGCAGGAUCAGGUGAGAAUAAAUCUGGAUUGGAGAAGCAGCUCGGGCAGCACUAUCCAUAUCAAAGUAUGCCACCAC